UACGUAGGGUGCAAGCGUUGUCCGGAAUUAUUGGGCGUAAAGAGCUCGUAGGCGGUUUGUUGCGUCGGCUGUGAAAUCCCGAGGCUCAACCUCGGGUCUGCAGUCGAUACGAGCAAACUAGAGUGUUGCAGGGGAGACUGGAAUUCCUGGUGUAGCGGUGAAAUGCGCAGAUAUCAGGAAGAACACCCGUGGCGAAGGCGGUUCUCUGGGACGGUACUGACGCUGAGACGCGAAAGCCAGGGGAGCGAACGGG
rnacentral:rRNA from 1 species